rnacentral:lncRNA from 1 species
GCUGGAAAGUUGCCGAAAUCCUAGGAGUUUUUCGAUUUCGUGGUAGAAGAAUCACUACCCUCAAGCUCGUCGUCUCAGUUCGCUGCCCGGAAAGAGGUGAUUUCUCUUCUUAAUUUUGGUUUAUUUGGUUCUUCGCUGUUUCAUGCUUUCAUUUAAGUGUCCUUAAUGGUUUUUAGUUUUUAAUAUCUAAAUCAACUUGAUCAUUGUCUCUGUUAUUUCGUAACUUGUUCUUGUUGGAUUUAUGAAGUUGUCUGUGAUCAAAUGUCAUCCUUAAUGUUAUCGUUUGUUUAUUUCAUCCUAGUUUGGGUCACUUUUGCUAUGAACAUAAUAGAAGCCACGUUAAGCUCAAUUCAGUUUCAUGGGAUUGACUACACUUUCGUCUCCAUUUAGCGCUAUAACCUUCGAUUUUGAAUCUAUGUUGUUAAUGUUUUAGCUUAAAUUUAGUCUCAUCCUAGCCUACUGUGUGUGAUUUUCGUUGGUUAUUUGUUUAAGCUCAUAGGCUGCCUCUUGAGUUUUACUUUUCAUUUUACUCAUUUUAGGUGUAUUAUAGGGUGUAAAUCUAAGUAUUCAUGUUAUGUUUAUAUUUCUCUGAUCUGGGUUCUCUGAUUAUUAAUGUCUCGUGAAGCUUUAUUAUGUUAAAGGAUUGGUGUUUCAAUCCUCCGAAUAUAGAAUGCAGUUUAUGCGUGAUCGUCCUCUGAUUUCACCUCGUUAUUUUUUAGUUACCUAGUUUGGUUCAAACCCAUAUGUUUUGGAUUCGUCCACAUUAUUUGACUUGUCUUAUGAUUCAUGGUUUGAAUCUGCUCCAAGUACUACUCUUAUCUGCUAAUUUAGUGUUUAAUUUGAAGUCCUCAUUGCUUAUCUUGAUCUAUUUCUUUUAAUCGAUUCCCUGAUUUAUUUAUCCUGAGUCCUCUUUUAAAUUAAGUUUCGUUCAAAUAUUUGUCUAAAUAUGUGUUGGGUUAGUUGCAAAGAUUUAUUCAUAUGGAUAGGUUGAAAAUGGUUGGUCUGCUUACUUUAGAUGUCAAAGGCUAGUAAGUUCAUGUCUAAAUAAAUAAUUCUUAUUCGAUCUUUACUGAUGAUGUUGUGCAUGCGUACAUUUUUGUAAAGUUCACUUGGUCAUGAGUUAGGUUCUUAUGUUGCCCUGAAGGUGGGUUAUUUAGUCAUAAUAUGUGAUUUUAAUGCACUAGUUUUCUUUGACAAAGAAUGAUAAUGUUGCGGUUAUAUACUAAUACUCCUUAUUAUUUUCCUAUGCAUGGUUUGUUCUCCAAAUGAGUUCAAUUGGACUCACGUUUCCCCUGCAUCUUCAUGUCGGGAUGGAACCCAACAAAAUUCUUUUAUCGAGUCAUCCAACCUUGAGAAAUCGAAGAACAAGUCUUUGGAGUUGACGUACAGGUCCCGAAAAGCAGGAAAAUGGGUUGUAUACAUCCGAUAUACACUGAUAUACAUAAGAUGUAUACAAAAACGGGUUUAAGAUUAAACCCCAAAAAU